UCGAGAAUCUUCGGCAAUGGGCGAAAGCCUGACCGAGCGACGCCGCGUGUGCGAUGAAGGCCUUCGGGUUGUAAAGCACUGUCGAGGGGGAGGAAGCCGCAAGGUUGACCUAUCCCUGGAGGAAGCACGGGCUAAGUUCGUGCCAGCAGCCGCGGUAAGACGAACCGUGCAAACGUUAUUCGGAAUCACUGGGCUUAAAGGGCGCGUAGGCGGGCAACCAAGUCCGGGGUGAAAUCCUCCAGCUCAACUGGAGAAGUGCCUCGGAUACUGGCUGCCUCGAGGAGGGUAGGGGCAUCUGGAACUAGCGGUGGAGCGGUGAAAUGCGUUGAUAUCGCUAGGAACUCCGGUGGCGAAGGCGAGGUGCUGGACCCUUUCUGACGCUGAGGCGCGAAAGCCAGGGGAGCGAACGGGAUUAGAUACCCCGGUAGUCCUGGCCCUAAACGAUGAGAACUAGAUAGCGGACUUGAUAUGAGUGCGCUGUCGGAGCAAAAGUGCUAAGUUCUCCGCCUGGGGAGUAUGGUCGCAAGGCUGA
rnacentral:rRNA from 1 species